CUUGGUCAUUUAGAGGAAGUAAAAGUCGUAACAAGGUCUCCGUUGGUGAACCAGCGGAGGGAUCAUUACCGAGUUUACAACUCCCAAACCCAUGUGAACAUACCUAUCGUUGCUUCGGCGGAUCGCCCCGGGCGCCUUGCGUGCCCCGGAUCCAGGCGGCCGCCGGGGGACCUUAACUCUUGUUUCUACUGAGAAUCUUCUGAGUCGUUUUUACAAAUAAAUAAAAACUUUCAACAACGGAUCUCUUGGUUCUGGCAUCGAUGAAGAACGCAGCGAAAUGCGAAAAGUAAUGUGAAUUGCAGAAUUCAGUGAAUCAUCGAAUCUUUGAACGCACAUUGCGCCCGCCAGUAUUCUGGCGGGCAUGCCUGUCUGAGCGUCAUUUCAACCCUCACGCCCCUAGGGCGUGGUGUUGGGGAUCGGCCAGCGCCCUCGCGGGCGAGGCCGUCCCCUAAAUCUAGUGGCGGACCCGUCGUGGCCUCCCCUGCGAAGUAGUGAUAUUCCGCAUAGGAGAGCGACGAGCCCCUGCCGUUAAACCCCCAACUUUCUCAGGUUGACCUCAGAUCAGGUAGGAAUACCCGCUGAACUUAAGCAUAUCAAUAAGCGGAGGAAAAGAAACCAACAGGGAUUGCCCCAGUAACGGCGAAUCCCGCGGCC
rnacentral:rRNA from 1 species